UUCAAUGCAUGGACUGUACAAGUGCGCGAAAAUAUAUAGCUGGAAUUAUUGAAAACGUUAAAAGUAUAGAAAGAUAUUUCUUUAGUAAAGGAAAAUACGUGUAUAAAAAGAACGCUAAAAAAUUAGUUAAAGAAUGGAUAUAAUAGAUGAAAUCUGUGUCAAUGAAAGUGAUGAGUAAAAGUAUAAUCAAAAUUGAGCACACCAACACUCAACAAAAACCACAUGCUCUUUAGUUUAUAAUAUAAUUCAUCAUGGUAAAUAUAACAUAUGACGCUGAUUUAAAGACGAUGAGAAGCACGAUCGAGAAGCACGAAGGGCACCAAAGUCUUAUUUAUCAUCACAUGCUUAAUUUCAUAACUCUCGUUUUUUUGGACGAAAAAAUCAAGGCCAUAACAGCAAUUGUGAAACCCGCACGGUUAAUUUGAAGAAUAGACAGAAAAUUCAAAGGAAAACUUGUAGGGUCAUAAAUCAUGUCAC